rnacentral:rRNA from 1 species
GACGAACGCUGGCGGCGUGCUUAACACAUGCAAGUCGAACGAAGUGGCGAACGGGUGAGUAACGCGUAAUCAACCUGCCCUUCAGAGGGUGACAACAGAUGGAAACGACUGCUCAUACCGCAUACUGAAGGAGGGGAUUGCGUCUGAUUGGCUAGUUGGAGGGGUAACGGCCCACCAAGGCGAUGCUCAGUAGCCGGUUUGAGAGGGUGAACGGCCCCAUUGGGACUGAGACCCGGCCCAGAAUCCUACGGGAGGCAGCAGUUGGGAAUCUUUCGCCAUGGACGAAAGUCUGACGGAGCAACGCCGCGUGGGUGAUGACGGCCUUCGGGUUGUAAAGCUCUUUUAAUCGGGACGCGGUACCGGAAUAGAAAGCCACGGCUAACUACGUGCCAGCCGCCGCGGUAAUAC